rnacentral:sRNA from 2 species
AGGGCGGGACUGCCGAAUCCGUCCCGGAACGGGGGACCCAUCACAGUGGGGUGAAUCUCGCGCCAGCGAGUAGGGCAAGUGCCUUUCAGCCCGAACCCGUCAGCUAACCCCGGAGGCAGCCGAAAGGCUCC